rnacentral:tRNA from 1 species
GCCUGGGUGGCUCAGUCGGUUGAGCGUCUGACUUCAGCUCAGGUCAUGAUCUCACAGUUUGUGAGUUCGAGCCCCGUGUUGGGCU